rnacentral:rRNA from 1 species
GUGUCAGCCGCCGCGGUAAUACGUAGGGUGCGAGCGUUAAUCGGAAUUACUGGGCGUAAAGCGUGCGCAGGCGGUUUGAUAAGACAGGCGUGAAAUCCCCGGGCUCAACCUGGGAAUGGCGCUUGUGACUGUCAGGCUAGAGUGCGUCAGAGGGGGGUAGAAUUCCACGUGUAGCAGUGAAAUGCGUAGAGAUGUGGAGGAAUACCGAUGGCGAAGGCAGCCCCCUGGGACGUGACUGACGCUCAUGCACGAAAGCGUGGGGAGCAAACAGGAUUAGAUACCCUGGUAGUCCACGCCCUAAACGAUGUCAACUAGUUGUUGGGGAUUCAUUUCUUCAGUAACGUAGCUAACGCGUGAAGUUGACCGCCUGGGGAGUACGGCCGCAAGGUUGAA